UGUGUAGGUCAAUGGCAAGGCCAGCUCUGCAGAGAUUUUACUUUCUUUGCUAAAGUGCUACUCCCAUCAAGUGCUUCCAUGGUUUCAUAAAGCUAAUCGUUUCGAAGAGGUUGCUAUGCCUUUUGCUAUCAAUGUUUGGAAACUAAUGGAGAACACUGGUGCUUUCAGUGCUAACUCCAAAAAUCAGGUUGUUCUUGACGCAAUAAUGAUGACAAUGAAGAUUGUAGUUUCUGGUUGUACAGAGGAAAAUCAAUCACUGAUUGUUCAGAAAGGUUAUUCUGUUCUUUUGUCUACCCUGUCACUCAUUUCAGCAAAGCAGCGAGCAGCAUUCCCUGCAUUCAACUUAGAGGGAUUUGGAUUUGUUCCCAAUUUAGUUAGUUUAGCAUGUAAAGAUGAAUGGUUGAUAUCUCUUUUCUCAUCAGUAUUGAUAGCUCUCCGACCUCAGACUAUAAUACCUGAUGUGAAAUUAAUAUUGAAGUUGUUGAUGCUUCUCUUACUGCAAGGACAUGUUCCAGCAACCCAAGCCUUAGCUUCUGCUGUCAAUAAAUGGCCAGAAAACAAUAAUGAAACACAGGGAUCAAAUGUUUGUUCAUUUGAGGAAGCAAUUGACUUGAUUUUUGAGAUGGAUUUAUCAGGUUUACUUUACAGCUGCCCAUUUAAAAAAUUGAGGGACUUGAUUUCCAGUGAGGAAAUUUGUUCUUUGUUUUGUAGCAAUGAUAGAAAUCCUUUUAUAAUUCAUGCUUUGGAAGGGCUGGCAUGGAUAGGCAAGGGUUUGUUGAUGCGAGGACAUGAAAAAGUGAAGGAAAUAGUGAUGCUUUUCAUGAAAUGUUUGCUGUUAAAUCAAGAUGAGAUAAUUACUACUCUUCAAGAUGGUUCUGCAGAUCAAUUUUCUUUCCUCACAGGAUUAGCGGCUGACGCAUUCCGUGUACUUCUCUGUGAUUCAGAUGUAUGCUUGGACAAAAAGUUCCACGCAACAAUAAAGCCACUUCACAAGCAGCGUUUUUUCUCUAGUAUCCUAGUGGUCCUGCUUUCUUCAAUUAAAGGGUCUGGUUCCUGGAGGACGAGGGCUGUUCUUUAUCGAGCCUUUGGACAUGUUAUAUCCAACACUCCACUGGCUGCUGUCAUCGUGCAAGCCAAUCAGAUUUUACCACCAUUGUUGGAUGCCUUGUCUGUGUUGAGUUCAGAUGUCAUGGAUAAAGAUCUUAUAUAUAGCCUCUUAAUGGCCUUAUCUGGUAUCCUCAUGGAUGAUAAUGGAAAAGAAGCUGUUUUGAACAAUGUUCAUUCAAUUAUUGGACGCCUUAUUGGAUUGAUUUCUUACCCCCAUAUGAUGAUUGUUCGGGAGACUGCCAUUCAAUGUCUUGUGGCCAUGUCAGGGCUUCCUCAUGCAAGAAUCUAUCCAAUGAGGUCACAGGUCUUGCGGGCGGUGUCAAAUGCUCUUGAUGAUCACAGAAGAGCUGUCCGUCUUGAAGCUGUUAGAUGUCGCCAAGCAUGGGCAUCGAUUGCAUCAAGAAGUCUCCAUUUCUGAGAAUAGCAAAUUGCUUUUGGCCUUGUUUUGAAGGUUCUCUAUGAUUCUGACAAGUAUUUUGCUUCCAGGUUAUGGACGACCCUUUAACAUCAUUGAAGAAUACAAAACUUGGCUAUUGUAAGAAACCUAAAAUCAAAUAUAAGCGCAAGAAACGACAGUUUUGAAUUGAUGUUCCAUUCAUCCACUAUGUUAAUUCUCCAGGCAAGAAGUGUUUAUUAUUCAAGCCGAAGCAUCUUGUCACCUAUAGAGCUUGCAUAUAACAGCACUGUGCAACUUGAUGCAUUUGAAUGAUGAGAUGCCAUCAGAUGUACCACAGUUACUUACUAUGUCUAUUCUUCCUCGUUGCUGGCAUUCUAUUUCAUGUUGUAUUUGGAUGUUAAUAAUCUACAAAUGUUUUAUGGAGAACUCGCUUGAUUAAUUUAUGUAAGCCUUCUGGUCCUUCCUAGUGUUCGUGUACUUUAGCAUUGGUUCUCAGUUGAUUUUUCUCCAUGGUGAGAGUUAAAGGUGGUGCUAUGGUGUGUGAUUAUGUUAAACACAAGUAGGUUCUAGAUUUGAGUUUUCCUUAGAAUUGAGGAUUUUUAUUUUUUAAAGAAAAUGUUGAUCUGCGUUAUGAUCUCAAGAAGUGUUUUUAA